AUAGAUAUUCUAACUCUGGAAAGUUCUGGCCACCAGGAUUUGUUUGCUGCUUAGUGUACUCCAGGCUCUGCGGUUUAUCGCCAGAUUGAUGUAGAUGGAAACCAGGAAGGAUUUAUUUUUUUCAACUAUCAGAAGAUUGGUAUAAUAAAUAUUUUUUAGUUUUGUGGCCAAGUAACAUGACCUCUACAAUUAGGUGAAACCAAUGAUUACUGCUUUUGGGGAAACCAUAUUUUUAUUUUCUCAAAAUGUAUACGGGAGGACAUUGUUUGUACUGCAACGAACAAGCGUAAUGGAUAUACUCAUUUACUAGCCCUGGUGGUUGGUGUACUCAGAAUGAAUUAUUAAAUUUGUAAAUAAGUACAAGGAA